UUACAAUGGCUGCCACUAGAU
rnacentral:siRNA from 1 species